UUGCACGAAUUCAUCAUGCUCUAGGAGACAGUAAACUAGCAAUAUCAUAUCAGCACAAAACUGUCAUUAUGUAUGAGAGACUACUAGGAGUGGACCACUGCAGCUCUAUAUCAGCCUAUUUCCAUUUGGCUUAGUAUUGCUGUGGGGCUGAGAGGAAUGUUGUGGCGUUGAGAUUACUGUAUAGAGUUAGGUAUCUAAUAAUGUUAAGACAUGGUGAGGAUCAUCCUGAAAUGUCUAAUGUUGAUUUUUACAUUGGUUUACUACUGAGUAAUGCUGGUCAUUAUGAAGAAAGUCAGGCAUAUCUGGAAAGUGCUCUUAGAUUACAAAACAAGUUUCAUGGAAGUCAAUCAAUUACUGUAGCCACAAUUCAUCAUCUUCUUGCCAACUCAUUGACUCACAUUGGAGCAUUUGCUGAAGCUAAGCAAAAUAAGAGAAAAGCAUACAAUAUCUAUAGGACUAAAUUUGGCCCAGAUCAUGCACGUACUGUUCAGUCUUUUAAAAAACGUGAGGUAUAUCACUGAAAAGCAAGUCUCUUAUGAGCAGACUGUUGCCUAAAUUUUCUUGCCAGUUAUUUGAAUGUUACAUCAUCUAAUCGUUUAGCAGUGCAGAGUCAUCAUUAACUGAGAAGCAACUGAUGGUGAGACUAGACCUGUAGGAAGAGGAACAGCUACACGUAAUAGAGAAGUAACUGAUGGUGAUACUAUAGCUGUAAGAAGAGGAACAGCUACACGUAAUAGAGAAGCAACUGAUGGUGAUACUAGAGCUGUAAGAAGAGAAACAGCUACACGUAAUAAUGCAGAGAUAGCCGUUACAGUUGAUGGUACAUUAAAGGUCUUCCAGUCCAUUCUCAUUGACUUAAUUGCAGACUUCUUACUAGCUCUUGUUGUUCACAGAGACUCGUGGCAGAUAUAUGAUGCUAUUGUAAUUCAUCCUUGUGAGCCAGGAGUAACUGAAUGGAUCAAUGUCUACAACCUAAAAUGGUGCGUCUUGUAGUGACGGACCAGUUCCUGAUCUUUGUUGGACGGGACAGGGUCACCACUCCCUUGUAUAUCAGGAUUUGUGUAUUUUA